UUUGUAUUCUGUCGAGAGAGAUACAAUGUCCUGUCAAAAAUAUUAGCUGAUAUAGACUGGGUUGGCCAAAAUAAACAAUAAUUUACCCAUAUCUAACAUCUGCCAUGGUUUAAUAUUGUGGCUUGGGCAGCUGGAGUGCUCAAUGGUCAGAAUGCAUUGAAAUCAUCUGAAAUGGCAGGGCCAUGGCUUUCAUUCCUGCCUGACGCCUACUGUUGCAUCUUUCGAGAAAAUUGCGCAAAAUGUAAAACAAAUUACCCUUACCCUGCUACGGCAUGCCCCCAAUAUAUAUUAUAUAGAUGAACUUGUGGUCAGGUCUUGGCAGCUGUUCUCAGUAGCCCAGUGGUCAGAAUCCACCGAAAUACCAGGGUCGUAGGUUUGAUUCCCGCCUGAGGCCAUUAGAGUCGCACACAUUGCAAUAACUUCCUCAGCCUUCCUUGAAGAUUUUGAGGAUUUUUGAAAAACCUUCAAUAAAAUAAAGCGACUGCCACGCACGCUAUAACUUCCUAUAGUAAUAGUAAUACUUUAUGGAGUAUGUAGGGUGUAUUUAUAUAACUGAGAAUCCCUUAUAGCUGUUUAUACUAAAAAAAAUCCAUCGUUUUCUAUCUUAAUUUUCUAUAUCUAUUAAUUUUCUAUAUCAAUUUUUCUAGCCCUAGCCGGCUGCGCAACUUCGAGUCCAAAGAAUUUAAAAUUUGAUCAAGAUUUUUGCGCACGACUUUGUCUUGCAAUACCCCACAUCUUUAGUUCACAUUUGAACGCAACACUUACCAAAAGCUGACGAAAGCUCCAGUAGAAAUCCAUCCAGUAAGCGAAAUGACGCCGAGACAAUCUAACACAAAUUCUUGAUAAUAUCUAUCCGAGCUGUCACAGACAAUAUGUUACACUCGAAGUCUGGGAAGAGCAAACAACCACGAAAAGAUAAUCAAAUAUAUAUUUUGACAGCUUCAUUGUGAAAAUCCACAGAUACAUAGGAAUGAAGACUGGACAUUGGAGUGAAUUUCAUGCAUCAAACGAUCCCCACAUAUAGCCACAAGAGCGCCAGACAUAGAAAAAAUCCGUAAUCAAAAUUUGUCUGGUUUCGCAAAUUGAAGGAAAUGCAAAUCAUUCCCUUGUCGACUGAUAAGGCCAAAAUAAGCUACAAUCAAGUUCAAGACUUGUAAAUUUACAUGGUUUUUUCAUUAAAAAUUUAUGCAACUCGUAUUAACGAAUAUUCGAGAGCAGUCACAACAUCAAACGACGUUAUCUUUCGUUAGGUUUACCAUAAAUCAUCUAUUACGCGUUAAUAACCCAAUAUUUUUAGAGGACGAAAUCUAUUGAGCUCCCUCUCUGCUAAGCCCCCCCCCCUCUCUGUUAAGCCCCCACCUCCUCGACACCAAAGAACCACAGGAGUAAUGAUUAAAUUUAUUAUUUCUUGCCGGUUCGUGUUAAAUAUAUAUAUGCAUGUUGUCGUAAAUCAUCUAUUACAGCAAGCUUUCACUUUUAAGAAGAAAUUUUCCAAGGCUCCUUUCCAUU